GGGGCCUUAGCUCAGCUGGGAGAGCGCUUGCAUGGCAUGCAAGAGGUCACCGGUUCGAUCCCGGUAGGCUCCA
rnacentral:tRNA from 1 species